AUGAGAGUGAGAAGAGCUAAAUGUUUGUGUCGAGAAUGGCCCAGAGCUGCCUCGGGCCCAGUCAUAGUCAGUGACCCCCACAUGAACAUGGUAACACAACAGGCCCCCUCGGGGCCUCUCCCGGGGGCUGGGGAGGCUGGAGAGCCAAUGGUCUGCUUGGGGCAUGGCAGCCUCCUACCCCUGCCCGGACCCCCUUCUGGCUCUCUCCGCCGGACCUGAGGACGGUGUUAGACAAGAAACUUGGGUCCUUGAUGAGCUGGGAUGGUUUGAAAUGUUCGGGAAGCUCAUCUUCGUGUUCUGCUAAGGCCUGAAACAUAAGGUGUGGAGGAUUAGGACGGGUCAUCGGGGGAUCUGGCUCCGUUUCCCCCCACUUCUACUCACCAUCCAGAAGGAGCAGAGAGAAAACUCUUAACAGCAGAAUGAGACAGGUGAGGCCAUGGAAGUCUAACAAAGAUAAGUGACUUGUUUAAGGCCAUCGAUAGCAUCAAUGUCAUCAGUAGAGGAAGAGCCCCUUCACCCAACUGAACUCUCCCAUGAAAACAACACUAGGUGGCUCUGAAGAGAAGACGGCAGGGCCUGGAAUCUGGAAGAUGUGAGUUCAAAUCAGGCCUUGGAUACUUAUAAGCUGGUUGACCCUAGAUGAGAAGUCACUGAAUCUGUUUGCCUCAGUUUCCCCAUUGUUGCCCCAUUGCAGCACAGCCCAAGGAGGGGGGUUCUCUACCUUUG